AAGAAGAGCGAGGGAAGCAAUUCGAGAAUCUGCUUUCAAGGUCUGUUCUGCAGUGGCAGAAUCGCGAGAGAGAGGAUUGCAGAAGAGAGUGCAGAGAAGUUGAAUAGCUUGUGGGGAAGGGGAAGUGGCGCGGGGUGGGGCACGCAAGCACCUUGCACUUGAAAACCGAAGUGCGGGCAGCGCUGCCGCCGUCGACGCCGCUGUUGCAUUUGUUGUUGUUCUAAUGCGCGCGCAACUCUCGCUUCUCUCUCUUUCGCUCCUUCUCAUCCACGCUCCUUCGCGGUUGCGGUUGUUGCAACUCCAACUCGAACUGCGGCAGCGACGGCGACUGCGACUCCGACAGCGACUGCGUUUCAUUUUCGGCAUGUUGCAAAUUUCGUUUUCAUGCGCAAAUUUCAAUUUCAUGUUAUAAAAUCGCUCGACUUGCACUGGUAUUAGUGGAUCAGCGCGUGUGUGUGUGUAUUUUUAGCUCUCUGUCAAUUUGCCACUUCCUUUUCUUUUUUUCGCUGCCGGGGUCUGCUUCUUCGCCUCUUCUUCCGCUCUCUUCGCAAAUUGAUGUUGAAGGUCAGCGUGUUAGCGAAAAUUGCAUUAUAUUUGCAUGUGUUUCUGUGUUUGGCUUAUCAAACUUGGUCACAUCACAAUUUCAGGGAGUUUUCGGUCAGUCUGGCAAACAAAAAGUUUGCCAAACUCAAAUAAGAAAAAACGAGUGGCAUGAGAUCAUCGUUUACCUGGCCGUUUUUACCUGGGGAAAACAUUUGUUUGGUCUAGAGUGGGCGGAGUCUCUCAUUCUACUGACGAAUUCGGAGCUGAAAUUUAUGGAAUCUCCUUUGCAGAGCACCCUGUAUGUUUAUUACCCAUACAUGGCUGUAUGUGUGAGUGCCAGCAUAAAAAAUAACCCCGAAAAUGCUGAACCGAAAAGUGCGUGCGCCUCUUCAUCCGCCUCUACUCCUUCCUCUUUUGUGGCUCUUCUCUUUUUACCACCCCCUACCGUUAUCCUUGUGGUUGCUGCCACAAAGGACAAAUGAAAUUUCAGCUCGGAUGUGCCGUCUCGCUCACUUUCACUUGGCGCCACGGAGAAAGAUUCACAAAAGGAGGAUUCAGGAUAAAGUACAAAGUGGGAGGGAACGAGAAGCCCCCUACUCCCAAAAAUGAACUCGAAAACAAAUGGAACUGCCCUUAGGAAUACAAAUAAAACAUAUUUUGUAUAGAUCAUUCGAUUAUUUAAAUAUAUAAAUAUUUAUUAUGUUAGUUAUGUAUGUAUAUAAUAUGCUAUAUAAACUCCUUAAAGUGCUUUGAAACAUUCUUGAUUAUUCCAAAAAAAGCUGAUUUUGAUAGUUUGCGAUUAACCUAAACUUUACUCUGUUAAAAAUUUUGGGUUUAGGUACAAGCAUUAAAUAAGUAUAGAAAAGGAACUACUAAAUAGAAAGUAUUAUUAUUCAUCUAAUACUUUAGUUAGGCUUCUAAGUAUAGACUUGCUACUAUUUCUUACCCAUUUACUUUAUUUCAUAAAAAUCAAAAAAAUUCUUGAAAUAUA